rnacentral:rRNA from 1 species
GACGAACGCUGGCGGCGUGCUUAACACAUGCAAGUCGAACGAAGAGCGAUGGAAGCUUGCUUCUAUCAAUCUUAGUGGCGAACGGGUGAGUAACGCGUAAUCAACCUGCCCUUCAGAGGGGGACAACAGUUGGAAACGACUGCUAAUACCGCAUACGAUCUGACCUCGGCAUCGAGGAUAGAUGAAAGGUGGCCUCUAUUUAUAAGCUAUCACUGAAGGAGGGGAUUGCGUCUGAUUAGCUAGUUGGAGGGGUAACGGCCCACCAAGGCGAUGAUCAGUAGCCGGUCUGAGAGGAUGAACGGCCACAUUGGGACUGAGACACGGCCCAGACUCCUACGGGAGGCAGCAGUGGGGAAUCUUCCGCAAUGGACGAAAGUCUGACGGAGCAACGCCGCGUGAGUGAUGACGGCCUUCGGGUUGUAAAGCUCUGUUAAUCGGGACGAAAGGCCUUCUUGCGAAUAGUUAGAAGGAUUGACGGACCGAAUAGAAGCCACGCA